GGAGCCCUAGAAUCUGCAUUUUUUAAAAAGUGUGCUGAAAGAUUGGGAGCUUGGUUAUAAUGUACUUUUUCUUUUUUGCAAUGCAAGUGACUCACUUAAGUUUUGAUUGCCAGGCAUCCAUUUCAAAGAGGAUCUACUUCAAAGAUGACAAUCUUGAAUAAACACAUUACCUAGCCACACGACAAGGAGUGAGCCCGGGAAACUUUAAGCGCCAUCUUCAACUUCAAAUAGAAGCAGAACCCCAGGCCUUCUCUCUCUUUCUCUACCGGCCACCUCGCUGUGUAACCCGAAGUGUUCUGUGUGACUUCCAGGUCCUCUUACUCAAGUCACUUUUCUCCGCGGGGGCUCAGAUUUCAGAGCCAGCUCUUCCUUCUGAGGGUUACUGUAGCCCUCAGUCCUGACCGGAACAGAUCAGGACUCCAGGAGUUUUCUCUCUAACAUCCCAACCCGGAGGAACCUUCGAAUUCCCAAGGUCAGUACAGACUGUCUGGAAAGACCCACCACCCCUUGCCAGUUCAACAGAAAGGAUGGUCUCAAAAAGAGAUUUAAAAAAAACACAACUCUGCCCUGGCCAGUGUGCUCAGUGACUAGAGAAUC